AACCACCUUUUGAAAAUACCACGUAAUUAUUUAAAAAGAAACUAGAUUAUCUGAACCACAAAACCGUAAAGGUUUAUGGGAACAACUUUCCUUUUCUGAUACUUUAUUUUAAACUGGAAACCAGUUUCUUCACAAGAUCAUCAGAAACUUUUGUGUAAAGCUGUGAAGGGAUACAUACAGUUACUUUAUUGCCUUUUUUUCUUUCGACAGGUCUUGUUCAAAGUAAUUCUGUGUUUCUGUCUCCUGAAGAAAUGCAAAUCUCUGAGGGGCAACACGCAACAUUGCAGCGUAAUUUCACCGCCUCUUUCACCACACCAAAUCCGCUCUGGUCCAAUCAGUGUCCGAACCGACAGCCCCAGCAAUUGGCAGCGUAUCAAUCUCCUGCUGAGAACACGGUCACUGCUGGAACAUUUUCAUCAGUUUUGUUCCACGCUAAUAAGACAGUUCCCUUGAAGACUGAGUCUGUAUGAACAGCCAUGUAUCACUGCGCUGUGAGGUACGCAGUGGGGCAGAGCUGCCUCUCCGGCGGUACGAGAAGUGAUCGAGGUCCUUACACACACCGGGGGUGGCAGAGACUGUUUUUCUGCCUGACUGUUAUUUUAUGACCCGUCUCUGCGAAGUUCAGUUCCUUCUGCUCUUCCCAUGUCUGGGAGGAUCUUUCCGUUUCUACCCCUGUGCGGUGUUAUAGCCCCACGCUGUGCAAACCAAGCCCGACGUCUUAUUAUCUCAGUUACAUUUAUGUGAGUUAACAAAUACACGAAUUUACAAACUUUCAGUGAAAAUAUUUGUUGUCAAUAAAACAAAUCACUCCAUAAAACUUGAAAAAUGGUAACGGGAUCUCCUGCAGCUGGAAAAUAAACCGGGCCAGGUUCUGAUCUCUGUUCCAUCACCGCAACUCUGGUCUAACUAAUCGGGGCAGCGGGUUCUUUAAUGUGAAACGUCUCAGCUCCACUAAAAUCAACGUCCAUCCACUCAGGUCUCUCUGUCCGUCAGUCUUUCUGUUUGCCCAUCUUCUUACACAAGGUAGUCUCUCUGGUUCCCCGGUGAGGCAAAGUCCAUUUCAUGUCCAAACGUUUUAUCAACUGCAUAGAGACAGUCACAGCUACAAACAAACCUUUUUGAAUGCUGGGAGUGGGCAGAAGAGCCACCAAACAGAGACAGUUUCCCAUAGAAAUCAGUAGCAAACACCACUCCCCUCCCCUAGUCUCCUCUGGGUUUGGGCAUUGAGGUCAGAUCCGCCCCUCUCGACUUUUUAGGGCGGCACGUUGGUCGGAUUAGAACAUUCAAAUAACAAUCAAUCCCCUUGCUUCGCUGUUGUGUUUUCACCGCCUCUUUGUGACUCUAAGUCCGCUAAACAAAGGCCAUGCGUUUUGUUCUAAACCUUUUUAUACUCACUCUAUGUCCAGGUGCUGCGCUGGCCGAUUCGAUCCAGUCCAAGGAACCCCAAGUGUCUGGAGUAGAAGGAGGCUCGGUGACAUUCAGCUGUUCCUACAAUACCACCGAUUUUUCGGGCGUCUAUCUCUACUGGUACCGACAGUCUCCUAACCGAGCCCCCCAGUACAUUCUGAGGAGAGGAACCAAGGCGUACGCUACUUAUAGCGAAAAUGCGGAUUUCGCUCAGGAGAGGUUUUCUUCCCAGGCUGCUGACAGCUCCACAGUUCUGAACAUCACAGCGCUGGAGCUGGCAGACACAGGGGUGUAUUACUGCGCCUUGCAGCGGGCACAGUGACAGAGCCACGGAGCAGAGCUGUACAAAAUCCCUCCCUUCCUUCCCAUUCACCCGCCCUGCACUGGGGAGAGACCAGAGACAGGCCUCCCCAAAGCCCCGCAGUCUCACCCCAGUCACAGGUACAGAUACAGCUCUGCUGUAGGUGACAGGCAAUUACAGACGGGGCUGUCCCAGCCCCACAUCUUGCUCGCUCAAAGGAAAGCUUCGGGCUGAG